rnacentral:rRNA from 1 species
GAUGAACGCUGGCGGCGUGCCUAAUACAUGCAAGUCGAGCGAACAGAUGAGGAGCUUGCUCCUCUCACGUUAGCCGCGGACGGGUGUGUCACACGUGGAUACCCUCCCUAUAAGACUGGGAUCACUUCGGGACACCGGAGCUAAUCCCAGAUGAUCUAUUGCACCGCAUGGUUCAAUAGUGAAAGACGGCUUUUCUGUCUCUUCUAGAUGGAUCCGCGCCGCAUGAGCUAGUUGGUAAGGUAACGGCUUUCCAAGGCAACCAUGCGUAGCCGACGUGCGAGAGUGGUCGGCCGCCCUGGAACGGGACCCCGGUCCAGACGCCUGCGGGAGGCAGCAGUAGGGAAUCGGCGGCAGUGGGGGAAAGCCUGACGGAGCGAGGCGGCGUGAGUGAUGAAGGCCUUCGGAUCGUAAAACUCUGUUAUUAGGGAAGAACAAAUGUGUAAGGAACUAUGCACGUCUUGACGGUACCUAAUCAGAAAGCCACGGCUAACUACGUG